rnacentral:rRNA from 1 species
UACGGAGGGUGCGAACGUUAAUCGGAAUCACUGGGCGUAAAGCGCGCGUAGGCGGUUUGUUAAGUGGGAUGUGAAAUCCCCGGGCUUAACCUGGGAAUUGCAUUUCAAACUGGCCGACUAGAGUACGGUAGAGGGAGGUAGAAUUUCCUGUGUAGCGGUGAAAUGCGUAGAGAUCGGGAGGAACACCCGUGGCGAAGGCGGCAUCCUGGACCAAUACUGACGCUGAGGAGUGAAAGCUAGGGGAGCAAACGGG